CCAAUAGCGUAUAUUAAAGUUGUUGCAGUUAAAAAGCUCGUAGUUGGAUUUCGGGGUCAGCAAGUUGGUCGUGCCACCGGUAUGCACUGGCUUUGCUGAUUCCUCCUUCUUGUAGAACCGUAAUGCCAUUAAGUUGGUGUUGCGGGGAAACAGGUCUGUUACUUUGAAAAAAUUAGAGUGUUUAAAGCAGGCUAACGCUUGAAUACAUUAGCAUGGAAUAAUGAAAUAGGACGACGAUCCUAUUUUGUUGGUUUCUAGGAUUGACGUAAUGAUUAAUAGGGAUAGUUGGGGGCAUUAGUAUUCAAUUGUCAGAGGUGAAAUUCUUGGAUUUAUUGAAGACUGACUACUGCGAAAGCAUUUGCCAAGGAUGUUUUCAUUAAUCAAGAACGAAAGUUAGGGGAUCGAAGACGAUCAGAUACCGUCGUAGUCUUAACCAUAAACUAUGCCGACUAGGGAUCGGAUGAUGUUAAUUUUUUAAUGACUCAUUCGGCGCCUUACG
rnacentral:rRNA from 1 species